GCCUGGGUGGCUCAGUGGGUUGAACAUCCGACUUCAGCUCAGGUCAUGAUCUCACGGUUUGUGGGUUCGAGCCCCACAUCGGGCU
rnacentral:tRNA from 1 species